rnacentral:lncRNA from 1 species
AACAUAAUUUUAGAAUUUUAUUUAACGGCUCCGAAAAAGUUUAUACUAUUAAAGAUGCCGGCGCCUAAUUACUCCGAGCAAUGCUGUGUACUAAUGCUAGUAUACAAUAAAACUAGGAAAUUGAAAUUUUAUUAGAUUUUUUGAAGAAAAAAUGGCUGUGAAAAAAAAGGCAAG